rnacentral:rRNA from 1 species
AUUGAACGCUGGCGGCAUGCCUUACACAUGCAAGUCGAACGGCAGCACGGGUGCUUGCACCUGGUGGCGAGUGGCGAACGGGUGAGUAAUAUAUCGGAACGUACCUUAUUGUGGGGGAUAACGCAGCGAAAGCUGUGCUAAUACCGCAUAAUCCCUAAGGGGGAAAGCGGGGGACCGUAAGGCCUCGCGCAAUUAGAGCGGCCGAUACCUGAUUAGCUAGUUGGUGAGGUAAAGGCUUACCAAGGCAACGAUCAGUAGCUGGUCUGAGAAGACGAUCAGCCACCCUGGGACUGAGACACGGCCCAGACUCCUACGGGAGGCAGCAGUGGGGAAUUUUGGACAAUGGGGGCAACCCUGAUCCAGCAAUGCCGCGUGAGUGAAGAAGGCCUUCGGGUUGUAAAGCUCUUUUGUCAGGGAAGAAACAGCAGCUCUAACACAGUAUGCGAAUGACGGUACCUGAAGAAUAGGCACCGGCUAACUACGUGCCAGCCGCCGCGGUAA